rnacentral:rRNA from 1 species
CCUACGUGAGACAGCAGUAGGGAAUCUUCCACAAUGGGCGAAAGCCUGAUGGAGCAACGCCGCGUGGGUGAAGAAGGUCUUCGGAUCGUAAAACCCUGUUGUUAGAGAAGAAAGUGCGUGAGAGUAACUGUUCACGUUUCGACGGUAUCUAACCAGAAAGCCACGACUAACUACGUGCCAGCAGCCGCGGUAAUACGUAGGUGGCAAGCGUUAUCCGGAUUUAUUGGGCGUAAAGGGAACGCAGGCGGUCUUUUAAGUCUGAUGUGAAAGCCUUCGGCUUAACCGGAGUAGUGCAUUGGAAACUGGGAGACUUGAGUGCAGAAGAGGAGAGUGGAACUCCAUGUGUAGCGGUGAAAUGCGUAGAUAUAUGGAAGAACACCAGUGGCGAAAGCGGCUCUCUGGUCUGUAACUGACGCUGAGGUUCGAAAGCGUGGGUAGCGAACAGGAUUAGAUACCCUGGUAGUC